AGUGAACGCUGGCGGUAGGCCUAACACAUGCAAGUCGAACGGCAGCACAGUAAGAGCUUGCUCUUACGGGUGGCGAGUGGCGGACGGGUGAGGAAUACAUCGGAAUCUACUUUUUCGUGGGGGAUCACGUAGGGAAACUUACGCUAAUACCGCAUACGACCUACGGGUGAAAGCAGGGGAUCUUCGGACCUUGCGCGAUUGAAUGAGCCGAUGUCGGAUUAGCUAGUUGGCGGGGUAAAGGCCCACCAAGGCGGCGAUCCGUAGCUGGUCUGAGAGGAUGAUCGGCCGCCUGGGAACUGGAACAGGGUCCAGGAGACUAAGGGAGGGAGCAGUGGGGAAUAGUGGGCAAUGGGGGGAAGGCUGAUACAGCCAGACCGAGUGGGUGAAGGAGGCCUUGGGGGUGGAAAGACCGUUUGUGGGGAAAGAAAAGCAGCCGGUUAAGACCCCGCGGGUCUGACGGUAACCAAAGAAUAAGCACCGGCUAACUUCGUG
rnacentral:rRNA from 1 species